ensembl:lincRNA
AUGCGGGGCCAAUCUCAAAUCCCAAAUUCUGGAAAGCGCUACUUCCCACGCAGUAAAGGGAAGCCCGGGCGCCUCAAAACCAAACCUUGGAAGACGCUGGAGGAGCAAAGCCUGCAAGUUUCCAUCCACAGCCUCGAAGCCAUGGGUUCUCCCCGGCCCUCUGAAGCCGCCACACCUGUGCCAGCCGGCCGCAUCCUCAGACCUUUCCACACGGAGUCUUCCCAGCACUUGGAGAAGCAGCGCAGGGUCCCGAGGACGGCCUGGCCCGGAGAAAAGAUACCCAAGCUCCAACUUUCCCCAACCCCGCUCCCCUCCUCCUUCCACCCUCCCUUCCCGCCCCAAAGCUCGGGGGUCCUAUCCCUCCUCCGGUCCGCGGAGUCUCCCGAACCCUGCGGGGACCCGGCGCUCGGCGGUGCCCUCCUGGGGCGCACGGGGCUGGGGCGGGAGCGGGGAGACCAGGUGGGGAGGGGACCCCAGAUCUCAGACGCCCGGGGAGACGGCGUUUCCCGCUGUUCAUUCAGGUUUGUGCCAAAAGGAGCCUCACAGAUGCAGUAUUGGGUUUGGUAGACUCAAAUCGUCUUGUUUUAAUGUAAAUGAAAGUAAGUUUAGGAUAAAUUCCAGUGCGGCGGGGGCAGGCAAGGCUACCCACAUUUUUUAAAAAGAAGCCAGCCCGUAUUUUUCUCCCUUUCCAAAUCCUCCGACCCAGGCACGAGCGCGCAUCGCGGAGGCCACGAUUCCCGUUUUAUUCCCUCUCCACGGCAAGGAAAAGCAGCGAAAUCUGAGGUCUUCAGAGGUUAACCCUAUCUAGGAGCAGAAUGUGACGCAUUGUAAACAAAUAAAUGUUGAAAACUCGAUGUUAAACACUUUACUUUUUCUGACUCCGACUUGCUUGACCCCUGAGCAGACCUGGGUUUUGAACACAGACGCCCUUCCCCAUUUCUCUAUUCUCUGUAUUCCUGUUUCACCUUCACGGCAAUCUGCCAGUACUUCUUAGCACUCAGUUUAACCAGAGGACGAGCUCUUGAAUAGCAAAAACCAGGUCUUUUUAUACGUGGCACAGUGCCUGUUACAAAAUAUGCUUCUUGGGUGAAUUGGUAAAAAAUAUUGUGUUACUUUUUAUUUGUAGCAAAACCUAGAAUAAGAAAAAGUACAAGAGAUUAUUGUUUGCCUUUAAGUUGCAUUUUUAGAAGAGCGUGCAUGUAAUCUCUGAGAAAUUAAAUGUCUACAAAUACACAAAGAUAUUGUCUCAUUGCAAAGGGACAUUCUAUUCCAGGGCCUGAAGAAGGAAAAACAGCGUGUUGCAUGUAUAAAUGUUGACUUUGAGAGACAAGUUUUUGUUAAAAUUUUAUCGUUAAAUGAAUAGACACAUAUAUUUUUGUUUUUCAGACCAAAGGUAAUUGUUAAUUCAUUUGUAAAAUAAUGUGGUUUUGGCUAACAAUCUCUGGAAUCCUUUCUAUAAUAAAAUUUUGUGAUUCCAGGACGUCGUAGGCGCUCUGGGGCUGCUUUUGAAAGGCUAAUUAAUUCAAGUUUUAACUGCCUAUCUGCUUUUAUGCAUCUGUGUCAGGACUGCACAUAAGGGUUAUUUUGCUAUUAAAUACUAGGGUUCUACUGCAAUAACAAUAAAAAGUAAAACCCUGACUAUCCUGAAACUCUGCGAGGGAAUGUCCCCCAUGAGGUUACCAAAAUUCAACUUUCUGGUUUUUGUGAUGAGUAUAGCUUUGAUUCUGAGAUGUGUCUAAAACCAGUUGCAGUUGGUGUCUCUUUAUUAACUUUUAACUUUGAAAUAAUUCUGAAUUUACAGAAACUUUCUAAAUGUAGUACAAAAAACUCCAGUAACCCCUCAUCCUCAUGGGUAUGUUCCAAGACCCCCAGUGGCUGCCUGAUACCGUGGAU